UACAGAGGGUGCGAGCGUUAAUCGGAAUUACUGGGCGUAAAGCGCGCGUAGGCGGUUUUGCAAGUCGGGUGUGAAAUCCCCAGGCUUAACCUGGGAACUGCAUUCGAGACUGCAUUACUAGAGUAUGGGAGAGGAAAGUGGAAUUUCCGGUGUAGCGGUGAAAUGCGCAGAUAUCAGGAGGAACACCGGUGGCGAAGGCGGGUCUCUGGGCCGAUACUGACGCUGAGGAGCGAAAGCGUGGGGAGCGAACAGG
rnacentral:rRNA from 1 species